rnacentral:lncRNA from 1 species
CUGGUGUCCCUGACUUUGCAUGUCACACUACCACUGGCUUCUCUAGCUUCGUGUAUAAAGCAACGUGUGGCAUCUUUGACAUCAUGUGUCUCUCCACCAGGCAUCUCAAACUUCAUGUCUAACUUUCCCCAUGGCAUCUCUGACCUCAUGUGUCACAAUCCACCUGGCAUCUCUAAUUUCAUGAUUCACAGUACCCCUCACAUCUCUGACUUCNCCCUGGUGUCUCUGACUUCAUGUGUAACACUUCCUGUGAUGUCUCUGACUUCUUGUCUAACUCUUCCCUUUGCCUCUCUGACUUCUUGUAUAACAUUCCAGGCGGCAUCUCUGACUUCGUGUGUAACACACUCCUGGCAUCUCAGAAUUCAUUUGUCACACUCCCUCUGUUGUUACUGACUUGGUGUUUAACAGUCCCUGGCUUCUCUGACUUCAUGUGUCACGCCCUCUGUGGCAUCUCUGACUUCCUGCAUAACAUUCACACUCGUGUCUCUGACAUUGCAUAACACUCCCCUGGCUUCUCGGAAUUCAUGCAUAACAACCCAGUGACAUCUCUGAAAUCGUGUGUCACACUCCCUGAGACAUCUCUGAUUUCAUGUGUGGCACUCACACUGGCAUCUCUGAUGUCUUGUGUCACAAUACCUCUGGCCUCUCUGACUUCGUGUGUAAGACUCUAUGCUGUGUCUCUGCCUUCAUGUGUCACAUGCUGCCNUCACACUCCCUUUGUUGUUACUGACUUGGUGUUUAACAGUCUCUGGCCUCUCUGACUUCGUGUGUAAGACUCUAUGCUGUGUCUCUGCCUUCAUGUGUCACAUGCUGCCUGACAUCUCAAACUGAGUGUGUAACACACACCAUCACAUCUCCAAUUUCAUUUGUAACACUCCUCUUUGUGUCUAUGACUUCCUGUGUAGUGCUACACAUGGCAUCUAUGACUGGAUGUGUAACACUUCCCCUGGCAUCUCUAACUUCCUUUUUAAAAGUCCACCUGUAGUCUCUGACUUCCUGUGUCACACUCCCAAUUUCUUCUAUGAGUUCGAGAGGAAAACGUCAUGUGGCGUCUCUGACUUCGUGUGUAACACACCCAAGUGGCUCGUCUGGAUUCCUGAGUAAUAUACACAAAGGUGUCUCUGAAUACGUGUGUAGCUCUAUCCCGUUGCAUCAGUGACUUUGUGUGUAACAUUCCCCAUGGCGUGUCUAAUGUCUUGUUUCACAGUCCCCCUGGCCUCUCUGACUUCAGGUUUAACGCUCACCAUGGCAUCUCUGACCUGUGUAAAAUUCCACAUGGUGUCUUACUUUGAUGGUCACACUCGGCCUGUCAUUUCUUACUUCUUUUGUCACACACAGCCUGGUAUCUCCAACGUGGAGAGCAACAUUCACCAUGGUGUCUCUGACUUCGUAU